GUGUAUGGAGAAAUGACCUUAACGAACCUUAACAUUUUAUGAUCAAACCUAAAAAGAAAGGUAACAGCUUAACCAGAAAGCAAAAAUUAAUUGACAAAUUAUAUUAAUUGAUCGUCAUCAAUAAUACGAAAAAAUAAAAGUGAAACCGCUAGUUAAAAUUAUAGCUUAAAAGUUGAAAAUUAUUAACAAGAUUUAGGUUAGCCAACUGUAGUGGUUAGCUAAGGCUGAGCAGUAAAAUAUUAAUAAAAAGCUGGAAAUUAUUAGCCACUGGUAGGUUAGCUUGUGGAAACUGUUCAAACUCGUAUAUAAUAGUAUCGGAGACACUGAAUCGUUAGCAAACAUUAAUGCUAACGAUUAAUGUUAGUAUUAAUAUUACAGACAGCUGUAAUAUUAACGGUUAUUACAGCUGUCUAAAAUUAGCAAUAAGCUAUAAAUUAUUAACUCAAGGUACUGACUUCAGAGUUAAUGUAGCUAAUUAGUAAAACGUUGGAUAAUUAUUAGCCAAUAUUAUAGCCAGCAGCUAAAAUUCUUGAAUUGGAAGCUGAUUAAAUUAUUGUAUGUAAUUAAUGGCCAAUUUAUUAGGUACAUUUUGCUAGUACAGGGUUGGGCUCGCUUUCAGAACUGCCUUAAUUCUUUAUGAGACAGUCAAUAAGGUGCUGAGAACAUAAACCCAAAGAUGCUAAAGUUAUUAGACUUAGAUGUUACGGCUGGAGACCAUUUGAGUAAACUAAACUCAUCGUCAUGCUCAUGGAACCAGUUUGAGACGAUUUGUGGUGCCGUGUGUUAUUCUGCAGCCAUCAGAAGAUGGAUACACUGUGGUUAUAAUGAUGGACAUGGGCAUCAACAAUACUCAGGUAGACUGUGGUGUUUAAGUGAUGCUCUGUUGGUGCUAAGAGGUUCAAAGUGUGUCAAGUACAACAUCUCCCCGCGUCAUUAUGCCAGCAACAGCCUGAACUAGUGAUACAAGCAGAACCUUCAUCCCCACAAGUCGGACAUCAGGUGUGGCUGCAGUCAUUACAGGACAGAGAGUCACUUGAAAACUGUAUGAAAGAAAGAAAAAAAAGUCUCAUCCACCCUCCCACUGGGUGUGGUUUGCUUCUAAUAUAGUCGACUGUGAUCGUGACUAGGCGUUUCACUUCUUGAAGCUGAGCACUGAGUUUACAUCUCAGCAGCUGCAAACCAUGGCCACAGUCACUGUUGAAUACUGUAAAGGAUGAAGUUAUGCUUUUCGCUACCGGGAUCUAGCUGGUCUCCUCCGGCAGGUUCCUGGUGUGAAAGUAACUGGACUCACAGGAGAAGACAACAGUUUUGAGGUGUCAGUGAACGGUGAGCUAAUCUACUCCAAGCUGAAGACGGGAGAGUUUCCUGAUAAUGAAGAGCUGACAGAGAAGGUGAGAGCGAUGGUCCCAAAAACGAAAGGAACGAAAAAGAACUGGAAACAGAGAUGCUCUACCCAAUAGGAGAUGGAGGAUGAAAUGCCAGCUGAUUUGCACUGACUGUAUUUGACCGAUGUUCUUAUUUGUUUGUGUGUUUCCCUAUUCUCUAUCCAAAGAAAUUAACAUAAGCAUCAAAGAAAGGGACAUUAACACAUUUUGUUAAUUAAGUGUCACAGAUCAGACAACUUGUUUGCUGUGAAUGCACACACAGAUGAGAUGCUGAUGGGAGCCCAUCAGAGGACCUGACUGCUGAUCUGCACUCCUGUUUAUGAAUGCCCACACUAAAAACUGCAUGUGGUGUGUGCACGAUGCCACUGGAGAAGCUUUUCAGCCGAGCCUGGCCUGAAGAUGUGCUCUCAUCAGGUCUGUGUAGCACAGGUUAUUAUGAAACACAUCUAAGUUUAGUUUACAUUUAUCAUUUGGAUUUUCCCUUUUUAGAUAAACAAAAACAUUGUUUCUGUGCCUUGAAUAGAAUAAUUGUGAAUGAGGAGACUGAUGUCACUCUCAUGUAUCUGCCUUAGGAUAGCUCACACAGGUGAACAGCAGUCCUUGUUAGCCCCUUGAUUAUUAUGCUUGUUUAAUAGAAACCUUCAGUUUAUGGAAUAAACGAGUGUCAUGUUUUAACUCCGAGCUGCACGUCAGCUGUGACAAAAUGGUUUUUUGAACACUGUCGAAUACUCGCAGACUGUUUUAAUUCAGAUCUGCUGCAGUGGUCUCUGCACACUUCCUGUCGUCUGUGGUGCUCUGCAUAUAUUCCUGAAGCGCUAUGUAGUAAAUGUGUCAAGCAAACAGGAAGUGCACGGAGUUUUAAAUAGUUUUGAAGUGUAGCUGAAAAAAAACAAACACUUUUUAUCACAUCUUUGAAAUGUGCACAAAGAUCUGAUCAUCAGUUUUGUGCCUCAUAGUGUAUUGUGUGAAAAAAAAACAAACAAACAAACAUGAAUGAUGGGUUACAAAUGGACUCUUUCAACACAAAUGAAAUAUAAGAUGUUGAUUAUGGUAUGUUUUUGUGAUUUCCAGUCCUCUCUAUGUUACGCUGAUAAGCUAACUAGCGGCUAGCUGCAGCUUCAUAUUGAUGGUGCAGACAUGAGAGUGACAUCCAUCUUCUAAUCCAGUGGGUCUCAAACCUCUUUCUACCGUGCCACAAAUCCCACAACAGUUUAACGUUCCUUAAGAAUAAGAAAUAUCUAAGCUGAAUUUGACUUAAAAUAAGCUUCAGAUUAGCAUUUGUAGCAUUAGCAACCUCAGCAGCACUUUAUAGUAAUGUCACACUAUUAACCAUUAAUAUAGCAAAUUCAUCAUUUAUAUAGCAUUAUCUGCCUUGGUAUGUUAUUUAUAUACACAAAUGUUUAUCCAUCUGUUGCUGUUACCCUUGUAUAGCUAACACUGCUACUACAUCACUGCUAACAAUAAUCACAGUCAUAAUAAUAUAUGUGUAUUUAUAAAUGGCAUACUAAGGAGGAGUAAUGCUUCAUAAAUGAUGAAUUAAGCACUUGCUAAUACCUUAAUCAUGCUUAAUAGUGCGACAUUAUUAUUAAGUGCUACCACUGUCUGUUUAUCCCCUCCCCCUCUCAAUUGGCCACCCUUGCCCCACAAUAGUGCCCUGCCCCACUGUUUGAGAAACACUGUAACAUUACCUGAUAAGCAAGAGAAGUUACAAGAGUCGAA